CUUCAUGAGGAAAGCAGCAUUACAAUAUUUACAGGGUUCAUGAGGAGAUUUCCUUUAUGACACUUAGGGGUUUAUGAAGACAUCAUCCUUGGAAGUUUAUGGGAAUUAUGAGAAAAGCCAAUUUCUGAGGCUUUUCUCUUGAUGAGGGGACUACUUUUAUGAAGUUGAUGUGGUUUUUGAAGACAGCACCUCAGUGAAGAGAGUGCCUUUAUGAUUAUUAUAUCUUUUAUGAAGACAGCAUCUUCAGGAGGAGACACCUUCAUGAGGUGACAACUUUAUGAGAUUUCUGGGUUUUAUAAAGAGAUUGUGUUUAUGUUGCUUAUGAUGAGAGCAUCUUUAUAAGGAGAUUGCUUUUAUGAGUUUUAUGGCCUUUUUGAAGUUUAUGAAGUUUAUGAGUUGAGUACCUCUGUGAGGUUUAUGGCAUUUAUAAGUUGAGUGCUUUUAUGAGGUAUAGGUGUUUUAUUAAGAGAGUACCUUUAUGUGGUUCCUGAUGUUUAUGAGGAGAUCUCCUUUAGGAAGCUUAUGGGGCUUAUGAGGAAAUCACCUGCAUUAGGACAGUACAUUUAUGAGGUUUAUGGUGUUUAUGAGGCGGAUGUCUUAAGGAGAAGAGUGCCUUUGUGAGGAUUAUGGGGUUUCUGAGAACAGCACCCUUAUGAGGUUUAUGUGGUUUCUGAGGAGAGGUCCUCUAUGAGGAGAAUAUUUUAUGAGGUUUAUGGGGCUUAUGUGAAGAGGGACUCUCCUCACAAACCUCAUAAUCCAAAUAAACCUCAUAAAGGCACUCUCCUCAUAAGCCCCACAAAUAUCAUAAAAGCACUUUUCUUGUGGGGACUGUCUCCUCAUGAAGGCCAUAAAUUUCUUAAAGACACUCUCUUCAUAAACCCCCUUAUUGUCAUAAAGACAUUCUCUUCAUCAAUUCCAUAAAAUUCAAAAAGGCCUUUAAUACCAUGAAGGCCAUAAAGGUCAUAAGGAUACUCUCUUCCUAAACUCCAUAAACCUCAUAUUGGUGCUCUCCUCCUCAAUACCAUAAAAUUCUUAGAGACCCUGUCCUCGUAAAGCCUAUAAAUAUCAUAAAUAAAAGCAUAUAUACAAUCACCUGAAAAUGACUUUGUCUUCAGAACCCCCAUGAUCCUUAUAAUGCUGCUCUCCUCAUAAACUCUACAAACCUCAUAAAAGCACCCUCAUUACAAAGCAGCCUCCACAUAAACCCCAUAAACCUCAUGAAGGCAUUCUUCUAAUAUACCCAUAAACCUCAUAAAAGGUUUGCUUUCCUCAUAAUCCAUGCUUUCCUCAUAAUCCCUCUAAUGGUCAUAAAGGCGCCCUUAUAAGUAUUAUGGAGUUUAUGAGGAGAGCACCUUUAUGAGGUGAGCAGCUUUAUGUGCCCUUAUGUUUAUGGGGUUUACAAGGAGAUAUCUUUUAUGAAGUUGAUGGGGAUUAUGAGGAAAGCACUUUUCUAAGGUUUAUGGUCUUGAUGAGGAGACUGCAUUUAUGAAAUUUGUAGUUUAGGCAGGGAGUGCCUUUAUGAAGUUCAUGGGGCUUUUGAGGAGAGAGUCUUUAUGAGCUUUAUGAGGACUGCACCUUUAUGAGGUUAAUUAGGUUUUUGUGGAAAGAACCUUAAUUAGCAUAGUAUUUUAAGGUUUUUAGGGUUUAUUAGGUGAGCACCUUGAUGAGGACUUUGGGGUUUAUGAGGUGACUGCCCUUAUGAGGUUUAAGGUGUUUAUUAAGAAUGGACCUGCUAGAAAAUUUUUUGUGUUUAUGGGGAGAUAUUGUUUAUGGGGUUUAUGGGUAAAGCACCAGUAAGAGGUUAAUAAGGUUUAUCAGGAGAGCACCUAUAUGAGCUUUAUGAGGUUUAUGGUCUCCAGUGAAUUUAAUGGGGUUGAUGAGGGGAGUGCCUUUAUGAUGUGAAAUGGGUUUGUGAAGAGAGCACCUUUAUGUGGAAUGCACCUGUAUGAGGUUUUCAGGGUUUAGGAGGCAAGCAGCUUUAAAACGUUUAUGGCCUUCAUGACCAAAUCCACCACAUGAGCACGUGGUCUUCAUGAGAAAAAGUGCCCUAAUGAUUUUUACAGGGCUUAUAAGGAAAGUUCCUGUUACACCCCAGCAGUUGUACAGAAGGAAGAACAGCCUGCUCUGUUAAAACCUGAAGUGCAUCCAGAACGCUGCUAAAUUGCACAACAGAUAUUUCUGCAAAUAUUGAAGCAGUUAAGGUACCAACAUCCACCAGAAUCUCUUAAGUAGGAAAGACUGAUCAGAACAUCUUGCUAUACCUGACCACAUGAAGUCAGCAUUUGCAGGGUCCUGUUGACAAUGAAAAUCUGUAGGAGAAUUAAUUUCAAUUACAGAGAUGGGUUUUUCUUACUCUGAAAUUACUAUCUGGAGGAAAUUGAUACCUCAGUGCUCUCGUGUUCUCUCCUUCUCUCAUACCACCUAUCUCCUCACUUUGGUAAUCAAGCAGUCUUUCUCUGGGUCUCAGCUAUUGAAGCCUGCGAAGAUACAUCUCUGGCACAUGGCCAGAGACAUUUGAUUUCUGCUGAGCUGUUCAAGUAAGAAAGUUGAUCCAUAUCUUCCUGGAAAGCAACAUCCAAACCCAGACUUCUUCAAGAAACAGCAGAUAAAAAGAAUUUUCCCAAACCAGGGAAAGCUCAGGAGGAGCUGAGGGAGAUGCCAGGACCCUGAAGCUCAUGUGGCAGUGCCUGAGAAGUCCUGGACAGUCACAGAAAUGUGGUGGAGUGACUUGCACUGGAGUUCUGCACUGGAUGGUUAUAAACCUUUCAG